rnacentral:rRNA from 1 species
ACUCAAAUGAAUUGACGGGGACCCGCACAAGCGGUGGAGCAUGUGGUUUAAUUCGACAUUCCGCGAAAAACCUUACCCGCUUUUGACAUAGGGAUCGAGGAUAUGAGAGAUCAAAUCCAUCGGUUCGGCCGGAUCCUAUACAGGUGCUGCAUGGCUGUCGUCAGCUCGUGUCGUGAGAUGUUGGGUUAAGUCCCGCAACGAGCGCAACCCUUGUUCGUAGUUGCCAUCACGUUAUGGUGGGCACUUUACGAAAACCGCCACUGAUAAAGUGGAGGAAGGUAGGGAUGACGUCAAGUCCUCAUGGCCCUUAUGGGCGGGGCUACACACGUGCUACAAUGGUGGUGACAGAGAGAAGCAAGCAGGCAACUGUGAGCAAACCUCGAAAAGCCAUCUCAGUUCGGAUUGUACUCUGCAACUCGAGUGCAUGAAGUUGGAAUCGCUAGUAAUCGCGAAUCAGCGUGUCGCGGUGAAUACGUUCUCGGGUCUUGUACACACCGCCCGU